CGGCGGACGGGUGAGUAAUGUCUGGGAAACUGCCCGAUGGAGGGGGAUAACUACUGGAAACGGUAGCUAAUACCGCAUAACGUCGCAAGACCAAAGAGGGGGACCUUCGGGCCUCUUGCCAUCGGAUGUGCCCAGAUGGGAUUAGCUAGUAGGGGAGGUAGGCUCACCUAGGCGACGAUCCCUAGCUGGUCUGAGAGGAUGACCAGCCACACUGGAACUGAGACACGGUCCAG
rnacentral:rRNA from 1 species